UACGUAGGUGACCAGCGUUGUCCGGAUUUACUGGGCGUAAAGAGCGCGCAGGCGGUCGUUCAAGUCGAGUGUGAAAGCCCCCCGGCUCAACUGGGGAGGGUCAUUCGAUACUGAUCGACUGGAAGGCAGGAGAGGGAAGCGGAAUUCCCGGUGUAGUGGUGAAAUGCGUAGAUAUCGGGAGGAACACCAGUGGCGAAGGCGACUACCUGGCCUGUUCUUGACGCUGAGGCGCGAAAGCUAGGGGAGCAAACGGG
rnacentral:rRNA from 1 species